rnacentral:rRNA from 1 species
AUUGAACGCUGGCGGCAUGCUUUACACAUGCAAGUCGAACGGUAACAGGCCGCAAGGUGCUGACGAGUGGCGAACGGGUGAGUAAUGCAUCGGAACGUGCCCAGUCGUGGGGGAUAACGCAGCGAAAGCUGCGCUAAUACCGCAUACGAUCUAUGGAUGAAAGCGGGGGACCGUAAGGCCUCGCGCGAUUGGAGCGGCCGAUGUCAGAUUAGGUAGUUGGUGGGGUAAAGGCUCACCAAGCCAACGAUCUGUAGCUGGUCUGAGAGGACGACCAGCCACGAUGGGACUGAGACACGGCCCAGACUCCUACGGGAGGCAGUAGUGGGGAAUUUUGGACAAUGGGCGCAAGCCUGAGCCAGCAAUGCCGCGUGCAGGAAGAAGGCCUUCGGGUUGUAAACUGCUUUUGUACGGAACGAAACGGUCCUGGUUAAUACCCGGGGCUAAUGACGGUACCGUGAGAAUAAGCACCGGCUAACUACGUGCCAGCCGCCGCGGUAAGAC